UCUUCGAAGACACCCCACCAUCACCGACUUUUUCCGGCCCGACGUCCGCGUCGGGCCGUU
rnacentral:sRNA from 1 species